UGCAGUCGAACGAUGAUCUCCAGCUUGCUGGGGUGAUUAGUGGCGAACGGGUGAGUAACACGUGAGUAACCUGCCCUUCACUUCGGGAUAACUCCGGGAAACCGGGGCUAAUACUGGAUAUGACUCCUGCUCGCAUGGGUGGGGGUGGAAAGAUUUUUUUGGUGGGGGAUGGACUCGCGGCCUAUCAGCUUGUUGGUGAGGUAGUGGCUUACCAAGGCGACGACGGGCAGCCGGCCUGAGAGGGUGACCGGCCACACUGGGACUGAGACACGGCCCAGACUCCUACGGGAGGCAGCAGUGGGGAAUAUUGCACAAUGGGCGCAAGCCUGAUGCAGCGACGCCGCGUGAGGGAUGACGGCCUUCGGGUUGUAAACCUCUUUCAGCUCUGAAGAAGCUCACUUGUGGGUGACGGUAGGGGCAGAAGAAGCACCGGCUAACUACGUGCCAGCAGCCGCGGUAAUACGUAGGGUGCGAGCGUUGUCCGGAAUUAUUGGGCGUAAAGAGCUUGUAGGCGGUUUGUCGCGUCUGCUGUGAAAUUCCGGGGCUCAACUCCGGACUUGCAGUGGGUACGGGCAGGCUAGAGUGUGGUAGGGGAGACUGGAAUUCCUGGUGUAGCGGUGAAAUGCGCAGAUAUCNNAGGAACACCGAUGGCGAAGGCAGGUCUCUGGGCCAUUACUGACGCUGAGAAGCGAAAGCAUGGGGAGCGAACAGGAUUAGAUACCCUGGUAGUCCAUGCCGUAAACGUUGGGCGCUA
rnacentral:rRNA from 1 species